rnacentral:rRNA from 1 species
CGUAGUCUGCCAUACGCAGGAAGACCCGCUGAACUGAAGCAUCUCAUUAAGCGGAGGAAAAGAAACUAACUAGGAUUCCCUUAGUAAAGGCGAUCGAAAAGGGAACAGCCCAACGUCUUAAUCCCGCAAGGGAAAUGUAGUCGGUUCACCUAUUGCACUGGUCUAAGUCAGAUGGAAUGCUGCGCGAUUCAGAGUAAAAGCCUCGUAUGACCAACCGCAAGCUUACGAUGGACCGGGGAGAGUCGGAUACUUUGAGAGUAGUGUCUUAAGGGGGUGGUAUGUCCCAUCCAAGGCUAAAUAACGUGAGGAGACCGAUAGAUUACAAGUAGUGUGAACGAAAGAUGAAAAGAACUCUAAAACAGAGGGUGAAAAGUUCCUGAACUUGCUUAGGGUUAAGGCUAUUUAUAGUACCCGUCUUGAAACACGGAUUAGGGAGUUUAUCUGUAGUGCGAGUCUUUGCACGUUAACUGUAAAGGCGUAGAGAAAGCAACUGGCGUUUGCAUGGCUACUGAGCAUUACUGAUAGGACCCGAAAGGUGGUGAACUUUGCCUGCACAGGUUGAAGUCAGGGGAAACUCUGAUGGAGGACCGUACGGGUUAUUGAUGUGCAAAUCAUUUUUCUGAUGUAGGUAAAGGUGCGAAAGACUCAUCGAACCACUAAUAGCUGUUUCCCCGAAGUUUCCCUCAGGAUAGCUGUAAUGCAUUUAGUAAGGGAGUAGAGAUAUGGGUAGAGGUGCAGGAGCUUCGGUGUUCUCAACUUAUUUCCAAACUUCGAACUCCUUGUUAGCAUUUACCUAACUGAAAUGCUUAAAUGAAUUAGCGUUACAAGUGGCUCUGACCGGUAGCGGUCAUGGCGAAAUGGGAUAACCAUACGUCUGAAUAAGGUGCCGAAAUGUACUAUCACUGAUACCAAUAAAGGAGUCAUGUAUUUAGACAGCAGGUCGGUGCCCUAAAAGCAGGUAUCCGCUAAAGAGUGUGUAAAACUCACUGCCGAAUACUAGGGCCCCGAAAAUGAAUGGCGCAAUAUAGUACUACCGAUCUCAGACAUCAGUUCUAUUGAACUGAGAGUAGGGAGUUGACAUUUUUGUGAAGGUGCAAUGUGAGUUGGACUGGAAGAUGUCUAUUACAGAUCCUAAUUGAAGUAGCGAUUAUCCGGCUUGUAUCCUGGGGGCUGAUGAGAGUAGGGUUUCUGGACAACUUAAACAGAUCCGAGUUAGUCGAUCCUAAUCUCAAUAAUGGGAGAAAGGGGUACAGUUGAUAUUCUGUAACUGACACAGUUCGCGGCAACGCAUACUAUUUUUCUCCGCCAAUCUAUACCGUGGUAGGAUCUCUUCCUACAUGACAGUACUAAUACCCAGGGAAACUGGUCAUCAGGCGAACUGGCGCGUUCUGCUGGCAAAACAUAGCUUCGGUUAUGUCAAUGGCUAUUGGAUUGGUCCAUGAAGCGAAAAAUAGUUUACUGUGUCACUCGUACGAUAACCGCAUCAGGUCUUCUAGGUAAGUAGCCUAUGGCCAUUGAGGCAUGAUAGUUCAGGGAAUUCGGCCAAUUAGAGCUGUAACUUCGGGAUAAAGCUUGGCUCUGAUGAAAAUCAGAACCGAUUGUUACGGAGAGCCCAACUGUUUAAUAAAAACGUAGUGUCGCGCUGUGGUAGUAUAGCCAGUGAACGCGACAUGAAUCUGCCUCGAGUGCUGUGUCUGUUAAUAUGGUUCAAGCCAACGAAGCACCGGUAAAUAGCUGGGUAAACUAUGACUCUUAUCAAAGUAGCGAAAUACCUGCGUCAAGCUGUAAAUUAGUGACCUGCAUGAACGGCUAUGAGGUUCUCACUGUCCCAAACUGUCUCUGCAGCGAACCACUUGUAGUGGGGAACGGUCACUAGAUAUCGCAGCGGGAAAGGAAGACUGUAGAGGCUUCACUUGGUCUAGUCUCUGGUAUAGUUCCUGCGGUGUAGACUAGGUGGGAGGACAAUCGAUUCUGAAAACCACACACCUGUUUGGAAUUAUGCCUUACCUAUCACAAGGAAUAGGACUAGAUAGAA